rnacentral:lncRNA from 1 species
UUCACCCUCUCUCUCUCAACGUCAGUCUUUCUCCAUAGAAAAUAAACUCUUCGAAGAAACUUCUCUCUCUAUAAUAAAGAACAUCUCCAUCUCCAUUUCUUCCAAGUUUCAACUCUGAUUCCUCUUUCACCUUGUUUAAUUCCUUCCGACGAAUUUCAAGGUCUUCUUAUCGAAGCAGCAGCUAUUAGUCGAUAAUAAUGACUUGGCAAAGUAGUUUUUGAGAAAUAAUUCGAUUGCUGAUUUCAUGAGGUUUAAAAGAGGCACUAAUCAAAAGCUGUCAUAGGUUGGAGGCUUAUGCUUGAUGGGUUUGGUAAAAGUUGUUAAUGUGGAAGAAAAAUAGUGGCACUACCAGAAGCUGUCAUUGAAUUCACAAGUAGUUACUAUUAGGUUUGUUCUCGCAUAACUUUGCCUUCUAUUGUCAGAAUAGUAUUAAAGUAACGGAAACAAUGACGUUUCGAGUCUGAAUUGCAGCCCUGAGACGGCAUUGAGGUUGUUCUUGAACAAAGACAACAGAGUUUGGGGCUGAGCAAAUUGAAGGUUCUGUUACUUUUUUUUUAAAGUGUAUUUCAAUGUAUCUCGCUUUAUUCUCAUGUAUUUCAUUGUAUUCAAUAUUUUUUAAUUAUGUUUCAUGUAUCUUGCUGUAUUUUAUUAUAUUCAUGGUCUUAUUAUAUUCCAUGAAUAUAUUCAUAUUUUUUUAAAUUAAUAUAAUUUAUGUAUUCAGAUAUAUUAUAUAAUUU